AUGUGCAGAAGCAUGGCGCUCGCCUGACGGGUACGCAGCAUCAGCUCCACGUGCCAGGGGACCGACGUCACUGUCGCCAGGUUGUUCCACUGCAACAAGCUGUUGCCCAGGAAACGCUGUGGGUUGGCCAUUACUGUGGAGAACAAAUCCUCUCGUGAUUAGGUUGAACCUCCAAAGUCAAAUACCCCAAAAGUCAAACAAGAGAUCGAGGUUGAACAGUCAUUUUGGCUCUUGCAAGUUUCUUCCUCCGAAUCCAAGCGGACAAUCACAGCUGAAGGAUCCCCACAGGUUGACGCAGGUGCCUCCAUUUGUGCACGGGUUGUUGUUACAGAAGUGUCUUUUGGCAGAACAUCCUGGGAAGCUCUCAUGCACACGCUGACUACAAAAUAGGACCAAUGCAUAUCUGCUUGAGGUCAUCAAACUCGGAUGGUGCGGCAUACCAGGCAUCGUUCCGUUGUUAGCGAUGAAGCCUGCCAUGUCGACGCGUUGGUUGUCCACACGCAAGUUCUUCAUGCAGCCCACAAACUGGUGGUUGCGGACAGGAAAGUCCUCGGGGAGCUUGGGGACUCCUCCGAGGAGCAGCGGACCAGUCAGGUCCAGUGAUCUGAUGGCACACAGCGCAUAAACAUUUCAUACAUUGCACAGUUUUGCCUGAAAACAACAUCAUCAGUACUCAUUAGGGGGGGAAGUACAUUAAAAAUUCACAACAGAAAUAGUGCGCAGUGUUACUAUUAGUGCCUGCAGAUAAAACCAGAAAAAUAGUAAACAUCCUGGAAAAAGUACCACCCAGGAGAUGUGAAACGAUUGCAUAAGUUUACUCUUAAUGAGUCUAGUGCAAAGAAAGUAAUGUGCUAAAUUCAGCAAGUCAACACCAAAAUCAUGAUUGGAUGUAAACGCAUCAAACUUUUUAACAGUGAUGUUGGAGAACGCACUCAAAUAUUCUUACUUUUUGCUUCCCGAUUGGCUUCCCUGCGCGGAGCAGGUGUAGUUUCCAAUCACGUGACCAAACCUCAGAGCCACAGGGUUGUCACAGUUGUCAACAGUCACAACCACAACCUUCUGCUCGGAGGGACCCUGCGGCAGACCCGCCUGGUUAAGAAUGGGCUGUGGGAGACACAUACAAAAAAUCUGAAUAGAACAUUCUUGAAAACAGGCUUCAAGCUGUUUUACACAGUUUGUAUUUAAUGCAAUCACUGGCCUUUGCCAUAAAACAUAAAUGUGUUAUUCUGAUGGCAACCGAUACAGAGACCAACAGACAGCUUUGUGGUAUUGGCCAAUUCCAAUACUGUCCUGAAACAAUGCUGGUGUACAGUGGGGCAAAUAAGUAUUUAGUCAACCACCAAUUGUGCAAGUUCUCCUACUUGUAAAGAUUAGAGAGGCCUGUAAUUGUCAACAUGGGUAAACCUCAACCAUGAGAGACAGAAUGUGGGAAAAAAACCCCAGAAAAUUACAUUGUUUGAUUUCUAAAGAAUUUAUUUCCAAAUUAGAGUGGAAAAUAAGUAUUUGGUCACCUACAAACAAGCAAGAUUUCUGACUUCUUCUAACGAGGUCUAAUGAGGCUCCACUCGUUACCUGUAUUAAUGGCACCAGUUUUAACUCAUAAUUGGUAUAAAAGACACCUUUACACAACCUCAGUCAGUCACACGCCAAACUCCACUAUGGUCAAGACCAAAGAGCUGUCGAAGGACACCAGAGACAAAAUUGUAGACCUGCACCAGGCUGUGAAGAUGCUUUGUGUAAAGAAAUCAACUGUGGGAGCAAUUAUUAGAAAAUGGAAGACAUACAAGACCACUGAUAAUCUCCCUCGAUCUGGGGCUCCAUGCAAGAUCUCACCCUAUGGCGUCAAUAUGAUAAUAAGAACUGUGAGCAAAAAUCCCAGAACCACACGGGGGGACCUAGUGAAUGACCUACAGAGACCUGGGACCACAGUAACAAAGGCUACUAUCAGUAACACAAUGCGCCGGCAGAGACUCAAAUCCUGCACUACCAGACGUGUUCCCCUGCUGAAGCCAGUACACGUCCAGGCCCGUCUGCGGUUCGCUACAGAGAAUUUGGAUGAUCCAGAACAGGACUGGGAGAAUGUGUUAUGGUUAGAUGAAACCAAAAUAGAAUUUUUUGGUAGAAACACAGGUUUCUUGUGUUUGGAGGAGAAAGAAUAUUGAAUUGCAUCCGAAGAACACCAUGCCCACUGUGAAGCAUGGAGGUGGAAACAUCAUGCUUUGGGGCUGUUUUUCUGCAAAGGGACCAGGACGACUGAUCUGUGUAAAAGAAAGAAUGAAUGGGGCCAUGUAUCGAGAGAUUUUGAGUGAAAAUCUCCUUCCAUCAGCAAGGACAUUGAAGAUGAGACGUGGCUGGGUCUUUCAGCAUGACAAUGAUCCCAAAAACACAGUCGGGCCAACAAAAGAGUGGCUUCGUAAGAAGCAUUUCAAGGUCCUGGAGUGGCCUAGCCAGUCUCCAGAUCCCAACCCCACAGAAAAUUUGUGGGGGGAGUUGAAAGUCCAUGUUGCCCAACGACAGCCCCAAAACAUCACUGCUCUAGAGGAGAUCUGCAUUGAUGAAUGGGCCAAAAUACCAGCAACAGUGUGUGAAAAGCUUGUGAAGAGUUACAGAAAACGUUUGGCCUCCGUUAUUGCCAACAAAGGGUACAUAACAAAGUACUGAGAUGAACGUUUGGUAUUGACCAAAUACUUAUUUUCCACCAUGAUUUGCAAAUAAAUUCUUUAAAACUCAAACAAUGUGA